ACACAUUUCAAUGCGCAAGCGCUUUAUGAAACAUUAUUCUUUCCCUGAAUACCUAAGUAUUCUAGUUGAUGGUUAACGUGUAAAUAGGCGAAGUUUUGUGUUUGUAAUGUAAAUCCACAGUAAAAAAAAUGAAGAUGCGGUGUGUGUGUAAGAGAGAAGAGAUAAGGGAACGUUGGGUACGUGUGGCUACCUGAAGAAUGCUCUCUGGCGCGGUGAGAAAGAGGCGAGCACAAACAUAUCGACGUGUUGUAUCGUCAACCGUCGCGACGUACACGCCGAUUCCCACAUUCUUUAAAGGUCCACUUGAUUGGAGCACAUACUCGAAAGCUAACAAGCAAGUGUAUGUAAAUAAGGGGACGCGCUGUUGUUUCCGAGACAUCCACGGUUAUUCCCUGUGUGACAGUCAAAGCUGGCGCAGCAACAGUAAGAGAAAGUAGAAAAGUCUUAAUUUCAUUCUUUAAAAAAGGAGACGGACGGAAAAUGCGGUUUAUAAUGCGAAAUUCGAGACGAUAUCAACCUAAAAUAUCAGCAAUGGGAGUUUGUAAUAUUUCUUAUAGUACAUUAUUUGCGUACACAACAUUUACGAUGUAUUUAAUAAUUGUUAGUGCUCAGUAUAUGUAUCCAUUAAUUAAUAACACUAUAAAAUAACACUAAUAGAAUACUUAAAAGUCUUUAAUAAUUUAUAGAGUUAAAUUUCAA